CCUACGGGUGGCAGCAGUGGGGAAUAUUGCACAAUGGGGGAAACCCUGAUGCAGCGACGCCGCGUGAGUGAAGAAGUAAUUCGUUACGUAAAGCUCUAUCAGCAGGGAAGAAAAUGACGGUACCCGAGUAAGAAGGCCCGACUAACUGCGGUCCAGCAGCCGCGGUACUACGCAGGGGGCAAGCGUUAUCCGGAUUUAUCGGGUGUAAGGGGAGCGUAGUCGGUGGGCCAAGUGUGGAGUGAAAUGGCGAAGCUUAACUGCGGAACUGCUUUGGAAACUGGCGAACUAGAGAGCGGUAGGGGUAAGCGGAAUGCCUGGUGUAGCGGUGAAAGGCGUAGAUAGUAGGAGGAACACCGAUGGCGAAGGUAGCUUACUGGACCGUAACUGACGUUGAGGCUCGAAAGCGUGGGGAGCAAACAGGAUUAGAUACCCGGGUAGUC
rnacentral:rRNA from 1 species